CCUUUAUGUACAUGCAAGUAUGGGGAAGUCCCCGUCCACCCCCUAUUCAUGGAGGGUGAGUGGCUGGAAGUUGGAACCUGGCAGCACUCCUAUUGACACUUCAAUGCCAGGGAGAAGAAGCAGAGCGGCAGCCUGACAGCAGAGCAUAGCUGACCCAGAGCA